GGAAUAUUGCACAAUGGGCGAAAGCCUGAUGCAGCGACGCCGCGUGAGUGAAGAAGUAUGUCGGUAUGUAAAGCACUAUCAGCAGUGAAGAAAAUGACGGUACCUGACUAAGAAGCCCCGGCUAACUACGUGCCAGCAGCCGCGGUAAUACGUAGGGGGCAAGCGUUAUCCGGAUUUACUGGGUGUAAAGGGAGCGUAGACGGCGAAGCAAGUAUGAAGUGAAAACCCAGGGCUCAACCCUGGGACUGCUUUGGAAACUGUUUUGCUAGAGUGUCGGAGAGGUAAGUGGAAUUCCUAGCGUAGCGGUGAAAUGCGUAGAUAUUAGGAGGAACACCAGUGGCGAAGGCGGCUUACUGGACUGUAACUGACGUUGAGGCUCGAAAGCGUGGGGAGCAA
rnacentral:rRNA from 1 species